UUUUCACUAGGAAUCAUCUCCUUCACUAGUCAAUAAUUACCCCUUGUUUUGCUCUCCAAAUUUGUUUUGUUAGCCAUAUCGACCCAACCGCCCAUAGCACCAAGCAAAGAUGACUGCCAAGGUUGAAAAAUGCCGAAACCUCGCAAAUUUUUUAUACCAUAGGCGCAUCAACCUUGCCAUCCGCCACCGGCGUUUGUUACACAAUGGCCCAGACACAAUUGAUGAGCUAUUGGACAGACACGUUGUGAAGAAAGAGAAAAACUACAAGGAUGAUGAAGAAAAUGAGCAAUUGACUCGGCAGCGACUCACCAGCACUCGUCGUGAGGCACUGAGUCUCUACCGAGACAUCUUUCGAGCCACUCGGUUCUUCAUCUGGUCAGACACACGAGGCAUGUUGUGGCGUGACGUUCUCAGAGAAAAUGCCCGAAAGGAGUUCGAGGCGGCCCGGUUUGAGAAAGAUCCAGAAAUCAUUACUCGUUUGCUUAUUGGCGGGCGUGACGCUGUGCAAUCGGCUCUCAAUAAGCUUGCCGAGAAACAAAGAGAGCAGAUUGCCAAGGAACAAGGCAAUCAGAAUCGUCACUGAUUACGAAUUAACCCCAUCAGCCCAUCUAGGAAUGAAUUGCUGCUUACAUGCAUUUGGUGGUUGAGACGUGGAGAUCUAUUCGUAUAGGUGACAGCCAUGAAACAGUCAUUCAGGAUUAGGCAUUAAGCAGUUGAAUUUGGCGAUUAGAGGAUAGUAAUGUCUUCUCUAUCUCUCUCUCUCUCUCUCUCUCUCUCUCUCUAUUUUUAUUUAUGUAACCCUUAGUUUAUGCCUUAAUUGGCCAGGGUUUUGUCUAGAGGAUCGAAGGGAGAAUCAGACUUUGCCUAAAUGAGAGAGAGAACAUUAAUCUUAUUUGCUUUGCAGCCAACAAACGGUGGCCUUAUCCAGAUCUUGGAGAUGGGAAUAUAUUAAAGGCAGAGCUGAGUGAAAGAUAACGGGAUCAGUUUACCUAUUGUUAAUAAAAUCUCACCUUCAGGCCUAAGUUGCCCUUUAUCCCAUUUUAGGAUAGGUACAAUUCUUGAUCUCUUGCUUGGGACUAACAGAUAAAGCAUUACCAGAAGGAAUGGAAACCUAGCUUUUGGAUCUUUAAUUAUACAUUAGUGAUAGAGUUACACUUGGUCACACCCUGUAGCACCAUACAAAAUAUUGUUUUUUUUUUGGCCUAGGGACUGUCUCUUGAUGGUUCAACUUUUUGAACCUCAAUUCGUUUGCAUCAAGAUUGCUAUUUUGGGGUGCAUGUAAGAAUUUCUAACUCCUGCAUUUUAUGGGAAUUGUUGUGUUGGUAGACAGAAUUUUGUUAAACAAUUGAUUAAAUUUUUUAAUUUUUUCCCCCCAAUUGCUAGAAGUUUGGAAUUCCUAACUUGAAUUUCCACGCAACAAAUAGGCUCUGAUUGGUAUUAUAUUCAGAAUUGAACUUAAAAAAAGUUAAUAAUAAACAGACAAUAGUUUUACCCAAACAAUGCCCUAUCAAUAGCAACAAAAAAAGAUUUAGUUAUAGUGCUAAUGCCAAUGCAGCCUAGGUCUGUUUCUCAGUCAAUGCACUAAAUGCAAAAUCCACAUGGACACAUUUUGAGAUUUGGUAACUAUCAUUCAAAGAGAGGACCACAUUGGGAUUAAUGUGCAACACAACAUGUAGGCGCAUUGCUAUCACCAAAAACACCAAAUAAUUCAUAGAGACAAUAAUCUGCAUAGUCCAUAUACAAGAAAUUGCAAUUGCAAUGAAUUGAUUGGAAUGUUUCACCCGCGUUGAAGCGUUUGUAUAGGCAUAGGAAAAGACUACCAUACAUCUUUCAUGUAAAUCCUUGUUACUUUUAAAUUAAAAUAAACAUCAAAGAAAAGAAAAAAAGAAAAUACAAAUAACAAAGAGGAGAAUGAUAUUUUUAAAACGUAGUUGUCCAUAUGUAUGCUACUACAAUUGAUUUGAACAGAUUAUACCAUCUGCUGUGCUUUACAAUCAAAGCCACUUGUCUUAGUUUCUUAGUGGCAAGUGGAAAGCAGACAUUAAGUUAGAAAAUUGGCCAUAAAACCAUAUCUUGAUUCUCCAGUGACUACGGUCGCAUCCUCCCAAUAAAGAGAAUUAAGUUUGAGUCUCCAUAAUUUACCAAUAAUAUAUAUAUUUGCUUUUUAGGUGCGAUCUUAUGUUCAGUAUCUUACCAAGCUGAUGACCAACUAAUGAAAUUACAGUGCAGUUUAUGUGAAGAAAGCAAGCUUUUCUGUAUAGGGACACUUUAACUUAGACUGAUAUUUGUCGUUGUAGAAAAGUAUACUCCUUUGUUGGAUUAAGUAACAUUGCUAUACCAAAAUAAUAUCCUAAAACAUUAUCUCUAGCAGUGAAAGAUCCUUAAAUAAAAAAAGAAAAAAAAAACUGUGUGGAUGGAUGUCUGUGAAGAAUAAUUUUUCUUAUCUGUUUUUACCUCAUGCCAAGGCCAAAAAAAACUACAGUUUUGAUUUACAAUAAAAUACCUGUAAUUUAUCCAAUAACUGUAAUCGAUCCUUCUUUUCUGUGGUUGGGAGAUCUUUCCGAACAUAAUUUAAGACCUGAAACAAAAAAUACAAGGUACCUCAUUACCAAUAGGUGUAUCCUAUGUUACCUAGAAUGCGGAUCAGUCCAGUACAUUGAACGGGACUGUGGUACGCCAUAUGCUCUAAAACGUGGUAUGAUAGGAGUAGAGUUAUAUAUAUUAUACUUAAAAAUUGAAGGUACUUCAAGAGUAAUUUUCUUUUAACUAUUAGGCAUUCAAAUUUUUUUUUUCUUUUUUUUUUCAUGUAGCAAAUCAUUUCUAUGAAAAUUAUGACUCAUUUUUU